AUUGAACGCUGGCGGCAGGCCUAACACAUGCAAGUCGAACGAGUGGCGGACGGGUGAGUAAUGUCUGGGAAACUGCCCGAUGGAGGGGGAUAACUACUGGAAACGGUAGCUAAUACCGCGUACCAUCGGAUGUGCCCAGAUGGGAUUAGCUUGUAGGUGAGGUAACGGCUCACCUAGGCGACGAUCCCUAGCUGGUCUGAGAGGAUGACCAGGAAAGCUGGAACUGAGACACGGUCCAGACUCGUACGUGAGGCAGCAGUGGGGAAGAUUGCGGAAGGGGCGCAAGCCUGAUGCAUGCAUGCCGCGUGUAUGAAGAAGGCCUGCGGGUUGUAAAGUACUUGCAGCGGGGAGGCGUUACCCGCAGAAGAAGCACAGGCUAACUCCGUGCCAGCAGCCGCGGGAAUAC
rnacentral:rRNA from 1 species